CCAAACUGAUCCCACCUCUUGCCCAUUGCCAGGCCAUGGCACCAACCCCAUAGCAACGGGCUCUCCGAACGU
rnacentral:sRNA from 1 species